rnacentral:rRNA from 1 species
GUGAGGAAUUUUCCGCAAUGGGCGAAAGCCUGACGGAGCAAUGCCGCGUGAAGGAUGAAGGCCUAUGGGUUGUAAACUUCUUUUCUCAGAAAAGAAUUAUGACGGUAUCUGAGGAAUAAGCAUCGACUAACUCUGUGCCAGCAGCCGCGGUAAGACAGAGGAUGCAAGCGUUAUCCGGAAUGAUUGGGCGUAAAGCGUCUGUAGGUUGUUUAAAAAGUAUUCUGUCAAAGAUUAGGGCUUAACCCUAGAUAGGCAGAAUAAACUUUUAAGCUAGAGUUUGGUAGAGGCAGAGGGAAUUCCCGGUGGAGCGGUGAAAUGCGUAGAUAUCGGGAGGAACACCAAAGGCGAAGGCACUCUGCUGGGCCAAUACUAACACUGAGAGACGAAAGCGAGGGGAGCAAAUGGGAUUAGAAACCCUUGUAGUCC